UCAGAUCCUUCACUGCCCUGAAUUUCUCUUUCUGUGUUUCUUUCAGGGAGAACCAGAAUAUUAAUAGACCCUUCUUCAUUUGAUUAAUCAUUAAAAGAAUGGCUGUGAUUUCUUUUGUUCCCUUCACAGGAAUCCAUGUAAAUGCAGUUCAUCUGCUGUUUAUUCCUUUGUGAAGCUGACAGGUCUGGAUAAUCUGCUUUUAACGUAAGUGUGCAUGGAGAACUACUACUACUGCAGAAAAUCCCAGCAAGCUGGCAGUGAGUAAGUAUUAAAAAAAACUACUGUGGAAACUUCUCCCAAAACCUUAGCAUGACCAAAAGGAUGAUUUGUGUGGGUGAGUGGCCUUUUUACAUCCAUUUUCAUCAGUUCCAGAUUUUCUCCUGUAUCCAUCACAUUUAGAUCCAGAUCCCCACUGGCUUUUAGUGGGACCAGACUGUCUCUAUGUGAGCCUGAGGUGAGUGGCUUCAAAGUAUUAUUUUUCCAGAUUGUUUAAACAUUCAGCCAUGCACACUCACACAGAGAGCUGUUUUCUAAUAAUCCUUUUAUCAGCCUGAAGCUGAAACAACUUUCUUUCUUGCAAGGAUCUGUUAUUGAGAGUUUCUUAUUAGUAACUAGAUGCUGACAUUGAUUUCAUUAAAAAAUAAGCACAGUCCCCAAGAGCUUUUGAUUUAUUUUUUUUAAUUGCAUAACAUGUAGAGUAUAAACACAAACUGCUUUGCUCAGAACUGCACCUCUUUAAUUGCCUGAAUUAAAAGGAUUUCUGGAUCAGCAGUUUCUCUCAUUUUUGGUACAUAUUGGUGGCACGUUACCAAGGUUCCUCUGAAACUGCUAAAUCUGGCUGGGGCUGAAAGUGAUGUGGAAAAAUUAUUUUUGAGUGCUCUGUGAAGAUUGUUCAGAACCACUGCUCUACAGCACCAGAGUAAUGGCUGUUCUGUGC